GGCCUGGUGGAGAAGCGGUUAACUCACAUCCCUUUCAAGGAUGCAUUCACGGGUUCAAACCCCGUCCAGGUCACCA
rnacentral:tRNA from 1 species